AAAGUGGAGCAAUCCAUGAGUAGAGUGGCAAACGGGUGAGUAACGCGUGGGUGACCUGCCUUCGAGUGGGGGAUAACGCUCCGAAAGGGACGCUAAUACCGCAUAACAUCCUGCCUUUUAAGAGGUGGAGAUCAAAGCCUGGGACCGCAAGGCCAGGCGCUGGAAGAGGGGCCCGCGUCUGAUUAGCUAGUUGGUGGGGUAAUGGCUCACCAAGGCUUCGAUCAGUAUCCGGCCUGAGAGGGCGGACGGACACACUGGGACUGAGACACGGCCCAGACUCCUACGGGAGGCAGCAGUGGGGAAUUGUUCGCAAUGGGCGCAAGCCUGACGACGCAACGCCGCGUGGAGGAUGAAGACCUUCGGGUCGUAAACUCCUUUCGAUCGAGACGAACGGCCCCUGGGUGAAUAGUCCAGGGGAGUGACGGUACCGAGAGAAGAAGCCCCGGCUAACUCCGUGCCAGCAGCCGCGGUAAUACGGGGGGGGCAAGCGUUGUUCGGAAUUACUGGGCGUAAAGGGCUCGUAGGUGGCCAACUAAGUCAGACGUGAAAUCCCUCGGCUUAACCGGGGAACUGCGUCUGAUACUGGAUGGCUUGAGUUUGGGAGAGGGACGCGGAAUUCCAGGUGUAGCGGUGAAAUGCGUAGAUAUCUGGAGGAACACCGGUGGCGAAGGCGGCGUCCUGGACCAACACUGACACUGAUGAGCGAAAGCCAGGGGAGCAAACGGGAUUAGAUACCCCGGUAGUCCUGGCCCUAAACGAUGAAUGCUUGGUGUGGCGGGUAUCGAUCCCUGCCGUGCCGAAGCUAACGCA
rnacentral:rRNA from 1 species